UGCAGUCGAAAUGUUUUAGCUUUAGACUCGGAGAGCGAGUGUCUUCCCAGGUACGCCGUGACAUCGUCGAUAUAGCAUGACUCCAGUGGUGUACGAUGCUCGCUGCACCGAUCUGUCGCUGAUCAGAUAAGAUCGGAGCAAACGGAUCAGAUACCCCGUAGUUCCUGCUGAAACGAUGAGUUUUGCUGUAGCAGGUAUCGUCCCCUGCUCUGCCGAAGUCACACCUAAGCACUCCGCCGGGGAGUCUCGUUUCAAGGCAGAAACUUAAGGUAUGAUGGGGGCCCGCACAAGCGGUCGAGCAUGUGGUUCAAUUCGAAGCAACGCGAAGACCUUUCCUGGGUUCGAAAUGCAGUUGUAAACCUCACAGAUGAGGUCCCCUCUUCGGAGGCAGCUGUAUAGGUGCUGCAUGGCUGUCGUCAGCUCCUGUCGUGAGAUGUUGGGUUAAGUCCCGCAACGAGUGCAACCCUUGUCCAUAGUUGCUCAGGCGUAGUGGCGAGAACUAUAUGUAGACUGCCGGGCAUAAACCGGAGGUAGGUGGGGAUGACGUCAAGUCCUCAUGGCCUUUAUGUUCAGGGCCACACACGUGCUACUAUGGACGGUACAAAGAGUCCCGAUCCCGCGAGGGGUAGCUAAUCUCAAAAAGCCGUUCCCAGUUCGGAUUGUUCUCCCCAACUCCAGAGCAUGAAGCUGGAAUCGCUAGUAAUGUUGGAUCAGCUUAUCGCGGUGAAUACGUUCCCGGGCCUUGUACACACCGCCCGUCACAUCACGAAAGUCGGUUGCACUAGAAGUCGGUGGGCUAACCCGCAAGGGGGGCAGCCGCCUAAAGUGUGAUCGGUAAUUGGGGCGAAGUCGUACAAGGUAACCA
rnacentral:rRNA from 1 species